rnacentral:rRNA from 1 species
GAUGAACGCUGGCGGCGUGCCUAAUACAUGCAAGUCGAGCGAACGGACGAGAAGCUUGCUUCUCUGAUGUUAGCGGCGGACGGGUGAGUAACACGUGGAUAACCUACCUAUAAGACUGGGAUAACUUCGGGAAACCGGAGCUAAUACCGGAUAAUAUUUUGAACCGCAUGGUUCAAAAGUGAAAGACGGUCUUGCUGUCACUUAUAGAUGGAUCCGCGCUGCAUUAGCUAGUUGGUAAGGUAACGGCUUACCAAGGCAACGAUGCAUAGCCGACCUGAGAGGGUGAUCGGCCACACUGGAACUGAGACACGGUCCAGACUCCUACGGGAGGCAGCAGUAGGGAAUCUUCCGCAAUGGGCGAAAGCCUGACGGAGCAACGCCGCGUGAGUGAUGAAGGUCUUCGGAUCGUAAAACUCUGUUAUUAGGGAAGAACAUAUGUGUAAGUAACUGUGCACAUCUUGACGGUACCUAAUCAGAAAGCCACGGCUAACUACGUGCCAGCAGCCGCGGUAAUACGUAGGUGGCAAGCGUUAUCCGGAAUUAUUGGGCGUAAAGCGCGCGUAGGCGGUUUUUUAAGUCUGAUGUGAAAGCCCACGGCUCAACCGUGGAGGGUCAUUGGAAACUGGAAAACUUGAGUGCAGAAGAGGAAAGUGGAAUUCCAUGUGUAGCGGUGAAAUGCGCAGAGAUAUGGAGGAACACCAGUGGCGAAGGCGACUUUCUGGUCUGUAACUGACGCUGAUGUGCGAAAGCGUGGGGAUCAAACAGGAUUAGAUACCCUGGUAGUCCACGCCGUAAACGAUGAGUGCUAAGUGUUAGGGGGUUUCCGCCCCUUAGUGCUGCAGCUAACGCAUUAAGCACUCCGCCUGGGGAGUACGACCGCAAGGUUGAAACUCAAAGGAAUUGACGGGGACCCGCACAAGCGGUGGAGCAUGUGGUUUAAUUCGAAGCAACGCGAAGAACCUUACCAAAUCUUGACAUCCUUUGACAACUCUAGAGAUAGAGCCUUCCCCUUCGGGGGACAAAGUGACAGGUGGUGCAUGGUUGUCGUCAGCUCGUGUCGUGAGAUGUUGGGUUAAGUCCCGCAACGAGCGCAACCCUUAAGCUUAGUUGCCAUCAUUAAGUUGGGCACUCUAAGUUGACUGCCGGUGACAAACCGGAGGAAGGUGGGGAUGACGUCAAAUCAUCAUGCCCCUUAUGAUUUGGGCUACACACGUGCUACAAUGGACAAUACAAAGGGCAGCGAAACCGCGAGGUCAAGCAAAUCCCAUAAAGUUGUUCUCAGUUCGGAUUGUAGUCUGAAACUCGACUACAUGAAGCUGGAAUCGCUAGUAAUCGUAGAUCAGCAUGCUACGGUGAAUACGUUCCCGGGUCU